CUCAGAUUCUUGUCAACACAUCUGACUGAGUUACAGUGCAUACAAAGUUUAUCCUUUCCAGCCCUAAUCAAGUAGCUGCAUUCUGGAGCAGCUGUUGGAGUGGUACUCUAAACAGGACCAGACCUGCUGUCUGUGAAGCUGACUUUGCAGGGCUGGACUUGGCAGCAGCUAAGCUGGUGGCACUGACUUCACUGAACAAGAACCUGUCAACAGCAGAUUGGAAUGGGACAUGGGCUCUUUGAAGAUGUAAAGCUGUGUAAAAAUUCUAAGUAUUAAUAAGCAAUGUCAGAGGAAAGCAGAGAAACAGAUGGAUGCUAAUGAGAGGAGAGAAGCUGACAUGAUCUUAAAAGG